ACCUUGAUGGUGUAGUGGUAGCACGCGUUCCCGAAGUGGAUGAAACGCGGAUUUGACACCCGCCCAAGGCC